UACGUAGGUGGCAAGCGUUGUCCGGAAUUAUUGGGCGUAAAGCGCGCGCAGGCGGUCUUUUAAGUCUGAUGUGAAAGCCCACGGCUCAACCGUGGAAGGUCAUUGGAAACUGGAGGACUUGAGUACAGAAGAGGAAAGCGGAAUUCCACGUGUAGCGGUGAAAUGCGUAGAGAUGUGGAGGAACACCAGUGGCGAAGGCGGCUUUCUGGUCUGUAACUGACGCUGAGGCGCGAAAGCGUGGGGAGCAAACAGG
rnacentral:rRNA from 1 species